rfam:Schistosoma mansoni strain Puerto Rico chromosome 2, complete genome
AUCCAACUGACGAGUCCCAAAUAGGACGAAACGAGCAUCGAACUGGAU